UUCUGUAGGUGAACCUGCGGAAGGAUCAUUA
rnacentral:ncRNA from 6 species